rnacentral:rRNA from 1 species
GAUGAACGCUAGCGGCAGGCUUAACACAUGCAAGUCGAGGGGUAUUGGUUUUCGGACCAAGAGACCGGCGCACGGGUGCGUAACGCGUAUGCAAUCUACCUUUUGCAGAGGGAUAGCCCAGAGAAAUUUGGAUUAAUACCUCAUAGUAUAGUAGUUUCGCAUGAAACGACUAUUAAAGUUCCAACGGCAAAAGAUGAGCAUGCGUCCCAUUAGCUAGAUGGUAAGGUAACGGCUUACCAUGGCAACGAUGGGUAGGGGUCCUGAGAGGGAGAUCCCCCACACUGGUACUGAGACACGGACCAGACUCCUACGGGAGGCAGCAGUGAGGAAUAUUGGACAAUGGGCGCAAGCCUGAUCCAGCCACGCCGCGUGCAGGAUGACGGUCCUAUGGAUUGUAAACUGCUUUUGUACAGGAAGAAACACUCCCUCGUGAGGGAGCUUGACGGUACUGUAAGAAUAAGGAUCGGCUAACUCCGUGCCAGCCGCCGCCGUAA